UACGGGAGUGGCAAGCGUUAUCCGGAAUUAUUGGGCGUAAAGCGUCCGCAGGCGGUCUUGUAAGUCUGUUGUUAAAGCGUGGAGCUUAACUCCAUUUCAGCAAUGGAAACUGUAAGACUAGAGUGUGGUAGGGGCAGAGGGAAUUCCCGGUGUAGCGGUGAAAUGCGUAGAUAUCGGGAAGAACACCAGUGGCGAAGGCGCUCUGCUGGGCCAUAACUGACGCUCAUGGACGAAAGCCAGGAGAGCGAAAGGGAUUAGAUACCCCUGUAGUCCUGGCCGUAAACGAUGAACACUAGGUGUCGGGGGAAUCGACCCCCUCGGUGUCGUAGCCAACGCGUUAAGUGUUCCGCCUGGGGAGUACGCACGCAAGUGUGAAACUCAAAGGAAUUGACGGGGGCCCGCACAAGCGGUGGAGUAUGUGGUUUAAUUCGAUGCAACGCGAAGAACCUUACCAGGGUUUGACAUCCUGCGAAUCUUUUGGGAACGAGAGAGUGCCUUCGGGAACGCAGUGACAGGUGGUGCAUGGCUGUCGUCAGCUCGUGUCGUGAGAUGUUGGGUUAAGUCCCGCAACGAGCGCAACCCACGUCGUUAGUUGCCAGCAUUUAGUUGGGCACUCUAGCGAGACCGCCGGUGAUAAACCGGAGGAAGGUGUGGAUGACGUCAAGUCAUCAUGCCCCUUACAUCCUGGGCUACACACGUACUACAAUGCUACGGACAAAGGGCAGCAAACUCGCGAGAGCUAGCAAAUCCCAUAAACCGUGGCUCAGUUCAGAUCGUAGGCUGCAACUCGCCUACGUGAAGGAGGAAUCGCUAGUAAUCGCAGGUCAGCAUACUGCGGUGAAUACGUUCCCGGGCCU
rnacentral:rRNA from 1 species